rnacentral:rRNA from 1 species
GACGAACGCUGGCGGCGUGCCUAAUACAUGCAAGUUGAGCGCUGAAGGGUGGUACUUGUACCAACUGGAUGAGCAGCGAACGGGUGAGUAACGCGUGGGGAAUCUGCCUUUGAGCGGGGGACAACAUUUGGAAACGAAUGCUAAUACCGCAUAAAAACUUUAAACACAAGUUUUAAGUGUGAAAGAUGCUAUUGCAUCACUCAAUGGUGAUCCCGCGUUCGCUUAGCUAGUUGGUGAGGUAAACGCCCACCAAGGCGAUGGUUCAUAACCGACCUGAGAGGGUUGUCGGCCCACUUGGGACUUGGGACCCGCCCCAGAUCCUUCGGGGGGCAACAGUAGGGGAUUUUCGGGAAAGGGCGGAAGUCUUGACGGGCAACGCCGCGGGAGGUAAGAAGGUUUUCGGGUUGUAAAAAUCUGGUGAUAGAGAAGAACGUAGGUGGGAGUGGAAAGCUCAUCUAGUGACGGUAACUAACCAGAAAGAGACGGCUAACUACGUG